GAUGAACGCUGGCGGCGUGCCUAACACAUGCAAGUCGAGCGGCAGCGAGUGGUGCUUGCACCAUGUCGGCGAGCGGCGGACGGCUGAGUAACGCGUGGGGACGUUCCCCUAAGUGAGGAAUAACUGCCCGAAAGGGUAGCUAAUACCGCAUUUUAUCUUCUGAUCACAGGUUUUAUCCGUUUUGGGUGCGGUUCCCUUCGGAUUAGGUGGUUGGUCAGUUAAUUGCUCAGCUAGCCGACGAUCCGUAGCUGGGAGGAGAGGAUGACCAACAAGACUGGAAGUGAGACAAGGACGAGACUCCUACGGGAGGAAGAAGUGAGGAAUCAUCAACAAUGGGCGAAAGAAUGAUGGAGCAACGUCGCGUGCAGGACGAAGGAGUUCGGGUUGUAAGCUGCUGUUAAAAGUGAAGAAUAUGACGGUAACUUAUGAAUAAGGAACGGCUAACUACGUG
rnacentral:rRNA from 1 species